GACGAGGGAUCCUAGCGUUGCUCGGAAUCAUUGGGCGUAAAGCGGGUGUAGGUGGCUUGGUAAGUCGGGUGUGAAAGCCCAGGGCUCAACCCUGGAAGUGCAUUCGAUACUGCUGAGCUUGAGUGCGAGAGAGGUUAAUAGAAUACCUGGUGUAGUGGUGAAAUACGUAGAUAUCAGGUGGAACACCGGAGGCGAAGGCGGUUAACUGGCUCGACACUGACACUGAGACCCGAAAGUGCGGGGAUCAAACAGG
rnacentral:rRNA from 1 species